rnacentral:tRNA from 2 species
GCCUGGUUAGCAUAAUAGUAAUGCAAUUGUUUUGUAAUCAAUUGAUAUAAGUGCAAUUCUUUUACCGGGCU